GCCCAGCCGUAAACUUUUACUUACACCUUAAUCGCCAGGGAACUACGAGCUAAGCUUAAAACCCAAAGGACUUGACGGUACCCCAUAUCCCCCUAGAGGAGCCUGUCCUAUAAUCGAUAAUCCACGUUUAACCUCACCAUUUUUAGUUAAUCAGCCUGUAUACCUCCGUCGUCAGCUUACCACGUGAGCGCCAAUUAGUGAGCCUAAUGUUAUUCCACCAACACGUCAGGUCAAGGUGCAGCAAAUGAAAUGGAAAGAGAUGGGCUACACUUUCUACAAUAGAAGAAACGAAAAACUACCUAUGAAACCUAGUUGGAAGGCGGAUUUAGCAGUAAAAAGGAAUCAACAUAUCCCUUUUAACCCGGCACUGGGGUGUGU
rnacentral:rRNA from 1 species